CUAGGGAGAAAGGACUCGAACCUCCACUUAAAAAUUCAAAAUUUAUAGUACUUCCAAUAUACUACUCCCCA
rnacentral:tRNA from 1 species